rnacentral:lncRNA from 1 species
UUGGGAAAAUUACUUUGUAGUCCCUCAGGUUUAACGUAAUUAACACUUCUGUCCCUCUAUUUUGGCGACCCAACACUUAAGUCCCUCACUUUCUCUUCCGUCCAAUUUCGCAGUCCUUCCGUUCAAAAUAGCCGUUUGGGACACGUGAAUUGACAAAAUUAACCCUCUCCUUCUUCUUCUUCUUCUUCUUCUUCUUCUUCUUCUUCUUCUUCUUCUUCUUCUUCUUCUUCUUCUUCUUUCUUCUUC